AUUGAACGCUGGCGGCAGGCUUAACACAUGCAAGUCGAGCGGGGUGAUGGUGCUUGCACUAUCACUUAGCGGCGGACGGGUGAGUAAUGCUUAGGAAUCUGCCUAUUAGUGGGGGACAACAUCUCGAAAGGGAUGCUAAUACCGCAUACGUCCUACGGGAGAAAGCAGGGGAUCUUUAUGACCUUGCGCUAAUAGAUGAGCCUAAGUCGGAUUAGCUAGUUGGUGGGGUAAAGGCCUACCAAGGCGACGAUCUGUAGCGGGUCUGAGAGGAUGAUCCGCCACACUGGGACUGAGACACGGCCCAGACUCCGACGGGAGGCAGCAGGGGGGAAUAUUGGACAAUGGGGGGAACCCUGAUCCAGCCAUGCCGCGUGUGUGAAGAAGGCCUUAUGGUUGUAAAGCACUUUAAGCGAGGAGGAGGCUCUUUUGGUUAAUACCCAGAAUGAGUGGACGUUACUCGCAGAAUAAGCACCGGCUAACUCUGUGCCAGCCGCCGCGGUAAUAC
rnacentral:rRNA from 1 species